rnacentral:tRNA from 1 species
AAGAUUUUAAGUUAAAAAAAAACUAUUUGCCUUCAAAGCAAAAAUUAUUAAUUAAUAAAUCUUA